GGGGGUAUGACUCAAUGGUAGAGUAUUCGUUUUGCAUACGAAAGGUUGUCAGUUCAAAUCUGUCUACCUCCA
rnacentral:tRNA from 1 species